rnacentral:rRNA from 1 species
AACGAACGCUGGCGGCGUGGAUAAGACAUGCAAGUCGAACGGGAUUUUCCGUUGUAGCAAUACGAUGGAAAGUCUAGUGGCGAACGGGUGCUUAACACGUGGGCAACCAGCCAGGAAGUGGGGGAUAGCUCGCCGAAAGGCGAAUUAAUACCGCAUGUGAUUAGAGAGGACAUCCUUUCAAAAUUAAAGUCGGGGCAACCGGACGCUUCUUGUGGGGCCCGCGGACUAUCAGCUAGUUGGUGAGGUAACGGCUCACCAAGGCUUUGACGGGUAGCUGGUCUGAGAGGACGACCAGCCACACUGGGACUGAGACACGGCCCAGACACCUACGGGUGGCAGCAGUCGAGAAUUUUUGACAAUGGGGGAAACCCUGAUCGAGCGACGCCGCGUGGAGGAUGAAGGUCUUCGGAUUGUAAACUCCUGUCAUUGGGGAACAAGGUGCAUACGUUAACUGCGUGUGUAUUGAUAGUACCCGAAGAGGAAGAGACGGCUAACUCUGUGCCAGCAGCCGCCGUAACAC